AUUGAACGCUGGCGGCAGGCCUAACACAUGCAAGUCGAACGGUAACAGGAAGCAGCUUGCUGCUUCGCUGACGAGUGGCGGACGGGUGAGUAAUGUCUGGGAAACUGCCUGAUGGAGGGGGAGAACUACUGGAAACGGUAGCUAAUACCGCAUAUCGUCGCAAGACCAAAGAGGGGGACCUUAGGGCCUCUUGCCAGCGGAUGUGCCCAGAUGGGAUUAGCUAGUAGGUGGGGUAACGGCUCACCUAGGCGACGAUCCCUAGCUGGUCUGAGAGGAUGACCAGCCACACUGGAACUGAGACACGGUCCAGACUCCUACGGGAGGCAGCAGUGGGGAAUAUUGCACAAUGGGCGCAAGCCUGAUGCAGCCAUGCCGCGUGUAUGAAGAAGGCCUUCGGGUUGUAAAGUACUUUCAGCGGGGAGGAAGGGAGUAAAGUUAAUACCUCUGCUCAUUGACGUUACCCACAGAAGAAGCACCGGCUAACUCCGUG
rnacentral:rRNA from 1 species